rnacentral:rRNA from 1 species
UACGAAGGGGGCUAGCGUUGUUCGGAUUUACUGGGCGUAAAGCGCACGUAGGCGGAUCGUUAAGUCGGGGGUGAAAUCCUGGGGCUCAACCCCAGAACUGCCUUCGAUACUGGCGAUCUCGAGUCCGGAAGAGGUGAGUGGAACUCCUAGUGUAGAGGUGGAAUUCGUAGAUAUUAGGAAGAACACCAGUGGCGAAGGCGGGUCGCUGGACAGUUCCUGACGCUGAGGCACGAAGGUCAGGGGAGACGAAAGCGGG